GAUUUCAGUCGUUGUCAGUGGGGCCGGCCUCGGUUUCGAGUGUUAGUGCCCUCUUGAUGCGACUUCCUUACAAGCGCUUUUGCACCUCUUCACUGAGGCGCAACGAGUCUUGUAUCUUUUACUUUGAACAAAUUAGAGUGUUUCAGGCAGGCUUUUUGCUGUGAAUACAUUAGCAUGGAAUAAUAAUUUAGGACUUCGGUUCUAUUUUGUUGGUUUCUAGGACUGAAGUAAUGAUUGAUAGGGCCAGUUGGGGGUGCUAGUAUUCAGCGGCCAGAGGUGAAAUUCUCGGAUUCGCUGAAGACUAACUUAUGCGAAAGCAUU
rnacentral:rRNA from 1 species